GAUGAACGCUGGCGGCGUGCCUAAUACAUGCAAGUCGAGCGAACAGACGAGGAGCUUGCUCCUCUGACGUUAGCGGCGGACGGGUGAGUAACCCGUGGAUAACCUACCUAUAAGACUGGGAUAACUUCGGGAAACCGGAGCUAAUACCGGAUAAUAUAUUGAACCGCAUGGUUCAAUAGUGAAAGACGGUUUUGCUGUCACUUAUAGAUGGAUCCGCGCCGCAUUAGCUAGUUGGUAAGGUAACGGCUUACCAAGGCGACGAUGCGUAGCCGACCUGAGAGGGUGAUCGGCCACACUGGAACUGAGACACGGUCCAGACUCCUACGGGAGGCAGCAGUAGGGAAUCUUCCGCAAUGGGCGAAAGCCUGACGGAGCAACGCCGCGUGAGUGAUGAAGGUCUUCGGAUCGUAAAACUCUGUUAUUAGGGAAGAACAAAUGUGUAAGUAACUAUGCACGUCUUGACGGUACCUAAUCAGAAAGCCACGGCUAACUACGUG
rnacentral:rRNA from 1 species